rnacentral:rRNA from 1 species
UACAUAGGUCUCAAGCGUUGUUCGGAUUCAUUGGGCGUAAAGGGCGCGUAGGCGGCGCGGUAAGUCGGGUGUGAAAUCUCGGAGCUUAACUCCGAAACUGCAUUCGAUACUGCCGUGCUUGAGGACUGGAGAGGAGACUGGAAUUUACGGUGUAGCGGUGAAAUGCGUAGAUAUCGUAAGGAAGACCAGUGGCGAAGGCGGGUCUCUGGACAGUUCCUGACGCUGAGGCACGAAAGCGUGGGGAGCGAACAGG